rnacentral:rRNA from 1 species
CACCGCGGUUAGACGAGAAAGCCCAAGUUGACAGAAAGCGGCGUAAAGGGUGGUCGAGGAAUAAACCAACUAGAGUCGAACUCCUCCCCGCACUGUCAUACGAAAUCUGGAGGAAAGAAGCCCAAUCACGAAAGUAACUCUACUUAACCUGCACCCACGAAAGCUAAGAAA